rnacentral:rRNA from 1 species
UACAGAGGGUGCAAGCGUUAAUCGGAAUUACUGGGCGUAAAGCGUGCGUAGACGGUUGCGUAAGUCGGAUGUGAAAUCCCCGGGCUCAACCUGGGAAUUGCAUUCGAGACUGCGUAGCUGGGGUGCGGAAGAGGGAAGCGGAAUUUCCGGUGUAGCGGUGAAAUGCGUAGAUAUCGGGAAGAACACCCGUGGUGAAGGCGGCACUCUGGGACGGUACUGACGCUGAGACGCGAAAGCGUGGGGAGCGAACAGG